GCCCUUCCUGAUAACAUGCACAAUCUCACUUCUCUUGAAGUUUUGUCUAUGCAAGAUUGCCCAGGCAUCAUGUCCUUUCCAGAAGAAGGUUUUCCCACCAACCUGAAAUCGCUUUCUAUUUAUGAGGUCGAGAUUUGUACCUCUUUGUUUAAUUGGGGUUUGCACAGGCUCACCUCUCUGGAGAAGCUCAGAAUCGCAGGUGGAUGUCCCGGUGUGGUGUCCUUUCCACAAGAUGAGAUAGAUAUGAAGUUGUCUAACUCUCUUACCAGCCUUACCAUUGAAGGAUUCCAAGACCUAAAAUACCUUUCCAGCAAGGGUUUUCAAAGCCUCACGUCACUUGAAUAUCUGGUGAUCCAGAAAUGCCCUAAACUUGCCUCCUUUCCAAAGAAUGGCCUGCCUCCCUCUCUUUUGCAAUUGCAGAUCUACAACUGCCCUCUACUUGAGCAGAAGCUGCCAGAAGGGUAAAGUGCAAGAGUUGCUAGAAUUAGCCCGCAUUCCAGAAGUGACAAUUAAAGAUAAUAAUUUGAAAGAACUCAAGCUAGAUUAUGUAUUUUCAUGAUUUAUGCAUCUUUUCUUCAUUUUUCUUUUUUAUUUAUUUCUUUAACGCUGC
rnacentral:misc_RNA from 1 species